GAAAUGCGAUAAGUAAUGUGAAUUGCAGAAUUCAGUGAAUCAUCGAAUCUUUGAACGCACAUUGCGCCCGCCAGUAUUCUGGCGGGCAUGCCUGUUCGAGCGUCAUUACAACCCUCAGGCCCCCGGGCCUGGCGUUGGGGAUCGGCAGCCCCCUGCGGGCACAACGCCGUCCCCCAAAUACAGUGGCGGUCCCGCCGCAGCUUCCAUUGCGUAGUAGCUAACACCUCGCAACUGGAGAGCGGCGCGGCCACGCCGUAAAACACCCAACUUCUGAAUGUUGACCUCGAAUCAGGUAGGAAUACCCGCUGAACUUAAGC
rnacentral:misc_RNA from 1 species